CCGGAACAGGCCUGGACAGAGGGUCUCUCACUUAUCCAGGAAGGCGUGGCCACAACGACCUCUCAGAUAAAGCAAGCCGGCAGCGGAGAGGCGAAUUAACUCACCUAAGUCUUGCGGGUUGGGUUCCCUGGGAAGGAGACUCUAAGGCAGAGGACACACACUUGAGACUUUGGAGUCCUGAGCCACCAUCUAGGAUGUCUGGUUAUCCUGAAGCCACCAUGCUGGAAUGUCCAUGUGAACAGACCAUGUAGAAACAGAGAGACAGAGAGAUGCCCAACAUGCCCCAGCUGUUCCAGCCCCCAGCUGGCUGAGUCGUCCCAGCCCAGCUGCCUGUCGUGUGAGUGCAGAAGACUUUGAGAUGAUGCCUCCUCCACCCACCAUCUGCCUGCAACGGCAUGAGAGGCCCCAAGCCAGGCCCUCUCAGCCGGGCUGGCUCCCCAGUUCCUGAGCCACAGAAACCCUGAGAGAUAAUAAAUGAUUAUUGUUGUUUGAAGGCACCAAGUUUUGGGGUGAUUUAUGCUGCUGCAAUAGAUGACUACUAUACCCCC
rnacentral:lncRNA from 1 species